rnacentral:tRNA from 1 species
GUCGGGGUGGUCAGGCGGAUGAAGUCGAUGCCGGCGGCCUGGGCCGGGUCGCACAGUUCGUCGUUGUGCUCCGGCG